rnacentral:snRNA from 1 species
CUAGUUGACAUCUUAUAUAAU